rnacentral:lncRNA from 1 species
GGGCACGAGGGAAGGGGCCACCUCUGGGAUUUAGGGGGCACUGGCGUCACCAGCUGGGUCUGGAAAGUCCACCUGCCGUCAAGGACACGCAGGAGCUCAGCCCUGGAUGGCUGCCCUUCCUGGAAACCUUAGGAUACCUCUGCUGGCUCCAGCUGCCCCCUCCCUGUGAGUCAGCUCCUUCAAGCCACAGCCCGCCAGAUGGCUUCCAAGGCACCAAGGAUGCAGCUCCUGACCUGAUGCCUCUCAGCUCCAGGACUUCCCAGGACCCCUCAGCUGCCCUGGACCCUGCUGCUACUGCCGUCACCUCUGCACCUUGUCCCCAGCUGGGCUGCUGACUCAGAUAUGCCAGGCUCCUAUGCUAUCAUUUCAACUCCCAGGCUCAGCUCACUCCAGGAGCCUAGUUGGAGAAUGGAUUUCCCCAGCUGAAGGACGCUUCAGCUAUACCAGUGGAGAAACGGAGGCACAGAGUCCGUGAAUGGUCUAAGGACACAUGGUAAAGCAAUAGCAGAGCAGGGUACACCCCUGGACUCACUCGUGUGGAGUUCAGUGACUCUCUGGGUGAUCCUCCCUGGUGCCUGGGACCCAGCUCUAUCAGGUCCCAUACAUCUCAGCCACACACUGGCUCCUGGUGAGCCCCUAAGCAGCUACCCUGUGGCAAAGGCUGCAGCCUCAACAGGGGCCCACUCUUCUUCCAUCUCCUUCCUCCAUCUCUCCCUGCUGCUGAGUUCUCCUAUCAACUUGACACCCCCUCCGGGACUGAGCCCUCCCAGCCAGAGCAUCAAUGUCAUUAGGUCAGCCCAUCAGCCCUGGGUAGUCCUCCUCUGCCCUCUGGGUCCUCUCUGAUGGCAUCACCAGAGUCCACAGAUGUCUGACUCCACUGAAAGGCUGGGCUGGUGGGAAGUCCUGUCGGGAAGUGAGCCUGGAGGUGGGAUGGCCACCUAUAUAGGCUUCUGCUCUGGCUAUUUUGGGAGGUGGCACUCCCCGUAGCCCCGGCCCCCUCCCCUUCCGGUGUCAGGUACUCCCCAACCGUGGUGCUGGGUGUCUGUAUCACAUUCAGCCUCCCUGGGCCCAUCAGGCCAAGACUAUUAAUAACUCUUGGCCCCUGCUUCCCUCCAGCACCCAAAAUUGAGGCCCAGGCAGGGCUCGCCUCUUCCAUGAAGCCUUCCGUGACCACUGUAGAUGGCAGCGAUGCUUCCUUCCUCCAUAUUCUGCCAGGAAAGGAAGAGAAACAGCAAGGAAAAGAAUGAAACAAGAACUGUCCUCUGUGCAUGGGGCUGAGCCCCAUUCCUAUGCUGAUAUGAUCUCUCACUACAGCCUUGCCAGGUAGACAUAGCUGCUCUCGCACAGAUGAGGAAACAGCAUAAAGACGUUAGAUGUUAAGUGACCUGCUGCUCAAAGCCACGGGCCUGGGGUUGGGAGCGGACUCAGCACUUUUGUGCGAGGAUCUAGUGCCUGGUAGAAGGAAAUGUUCCGCAUAUUCUCAGACAAGUCCCUUCCUCUCUCUUUCUCAGUCUUUCCACCUGUAACAUGAGCUCAAUCAGAGGUAAACUGUGCCCUAUAGAUGGUCUAGGGCGAGGGGAAGAUGGACCCCCUGAAAUUGUAUGCGUGUGACAUUGAGGCACAAAGGCCCAAGCCCUUCAUGAUUUGCAAAGAGAUCUCUGACAUUGUCUGUUUUGGAUUGGAGAGGACCAGCUGAGGGAUGUGUUUUGAGAAGCAUGAAUGACCAAAUGAAUUCAAUAAAUACGUAGUGAAUAUCUAAUCUGAC